ACGACCUACAAGACACUGAUAGUGGGUUCUCAUCGUAAGUAACAUAGAAGAAACAGGGGGAGAAGAAAGAAAGUGAAUUGGUUGGAAGGGGAAAGGGUUCUUCAAACCCUUGUUCUUCAAAGUUAUACUAUCAAUUGAAUCGGUGGAGAUUGAGAGGCAAACACGGUAGUCCCGAAGCCCUUUGGACGUUCUUCAAAGCCAUACGCUGUGUCGACCUACAGAAAACAGAGAGAGGAUCUUGCUGUGAGAGGCAAAUGGUACUCUCAUCUUUUCGGCGGCAAGACUAAUUCGACGUUGGCGGUGUGAUUGGAGUGGCUGUGGGUAAUUUCACUGUACCUAAAACCCUAAUCCUACAAAGAAAGAGAAAAGAAUUUGAAGAACAAUCAGAAAAUCUGAAGGGUUCUCUCAGAAUUCUGAUUCCAAUAUUUCUUGGCUCUUACAGAUUUGGUAUUUUUACAUUUGAAAUGAGGCUUGCUAAAAUUUUAUUUUAUUUUAUUUUGUUUUUUCAUAUAUUUCAGUUGACAAGUAAUGAAAUAAUCGAUGAAUAUUCUCAGGCAUUGGGCUUUUUACAUUGAUUAGUGUAGUAUUUUGGAGCCAUACUUUUGCUUCUAGGGUGUAAAAAAUGUCAUAUUGUUUUAGCAUUAGAUUUAUAGAUCUAAUUAUGUUUUUUGAAUUUUGAUGAUGUUUGUAAAAAUGCAUUAAAUUGUUAGCAAUUUAAACAAAAGUAUUUUGGAACUAUAUUUUCAUUGUGAAAAC